rnacentral:rRNA from 1 species
AGCCUGCCGCGUGUGUGAAGAAGGCCUUCGGGUUGUAAAGCACUUUUAUCGGGGAGGAAGGCGAUGAGGUUAAUAACCUUGUCGAUUGACGUUACCCGCAGAAGAAGCACCGGCUAACUCCGUGCCAGCAGCCGCGGUAAUACGGAGGGUGCAAGCGUUAAUCGGAAUUACUGGGCGUAAAGCGCACGCAGGCGGUCUGUCAAGUCGGAUGUGAAAUCCCCGGGCUCAACCUGGGAACUGCAUUCGAAACUGGCAGGCUUGAGUCUUGUAGAGGGGGGUAGAAUUCCAGGUGUAGCGGUGAAAUGCGUAGAGAUCUGGAGGAA